CUUCUCUGCCCUGGGAGCAGCUCCCCUGAUCCCCUGAAUAUGUAUGCCUGCACCAAGUUUGUCUCCCUCCACCCCCUCCUUGGUCUGGAGCACCUCUCAGCUGAGCACGUCACUGUCUGCAGUGGUGCUGAAAGGACCAGAGACACUGACAGAUGAGAGGCUCAGCAGCUUGGCAGCCCCGCGUCCCCUGACGUCGCUUAUUUCUAGCCGCAGCUUCCAAACCAGUGCCAUUUCAAGGGACAUCGACACAGCAGCCAAGUUCAUUGGGGCUGGGGCUGCCACAGUAGGGGUGGCAGGCUCUGGGGCUGGAAUUGGGACUGUGUUUGGGAGCCUCAUCAUUGGUUAUGCCAGGAACCCUUCUCUGAAGCAACAGCUCUUCUCCUACGCCAUUCUGGGCUUUGCCCUCUCAGAGGCCAUGGGGCUCUUUUGCCUGAUGGUGGCCUUUCUCAUCCUCUUCGCCAUGUGAAGGAGCUGUCUCCACCUCCCAUAGUUCUUUUUCCCGGGUCUUGUCUGCCCUGUAUGUUCCUUUUCCUAUACCUCCCCAGGCAACCUGGGGAAAGUGGUUGGCUCAGGGUUUGACAGAAGGAAGACAAAUAAAUACUGUAUUAAUAA